GUGGGGAAUCUUGCGCAAUGGGCGAAAGCCUGACGCAGCCAUGCCGCGUGAAUGAUGAAGGUCUUAGGAUUGUAAAAUUCUUUCACCGGGGACGAUAAUGACGGUACCCGGAGAAGAAGCUCCGGCUAACUUCGUGCCAGCAGCCGCGGUAAUACGAAGGGGGCUAGCGUUGCUCGGAAUUACUGGGCGUAAAGGGCGCGUAGGCGGACAGCUUAGUCAGAGGUGAAAGCCCAGGGCUCAACCUUGGAAUUGCCUUUGAUACUGGCUGUCUUGAGUUUGGGAGAGGUGAGUGGAACUCCGAGUGUAGAGGUGAAAUUCGUAGAUCUUCGGAAGAACACCAGUGGCGAAGGCGACUCACUGGCCCAAUACUGACGCUGAGGCGCGAAAGCGUGGGGAGCAAACAGGAUUAGAAACCCUAGUAGUCC
rnacentral:rRNA from 1 species